AAGGAGGACAGAUGCCCUGCAGAGUGACACUGAUCUCUGAGAAAUAUUUCAUGCUUUGUGGGCUGUUUGUCUCUAUGAACUAACACGGCCCAUGCUGACAGAUAUGAAUCACAGAUUUUCAAAUAAGCUCUCAGGACCCAGUCUCUGGAGAAAUGAGGGGCAUGCACCUCGAGCCAUUGAGAGGCCUUUGGUUUCCUGGAGGGAAGAGCUAUAUUUCUCUGAAGGGCUGAUGGUCCCUUGAGAAGGUAUGAAUGCUCAUGCGGUAGGAGGGGCAGACAUGGUAAGGACGGUAGAGUAGCUGAGUGUAAAACAUCAUGGAUGUUCACUGAAGGAAAGGCAGGUCUUCUCAGACAGAGGGGAAAAAUAAGUAAAGGCACAAAUUGGUAGAGUGGCCUGGGCUACUUGAAGACAGAAAUUUGGGAUAGCUAUGAAGCAGGCUGGUCACAGGAGGCCCCUGGAAUGGCCUUACUGGGGACAGGAGUACAUGACAACAUUGUGGG
rnacentral:lncRNA from 1 species